CCUACGGGAGGCAGCAGUGGGGGAUAUUGGGCAAUGGGCGCAAGCCUGACGCAGCAACGCCGCGUGAGGGAAGAAGGCUUUCGGGGUGUAAAGUUCUGUUCUCAGGGACGAAGCAAGUGACGGUACCUGAGGAAUAAGCCACGGCUAACUACGUGCCAGCCGCCGCGGUAAUACGGAGGUGGCAAGCGUUAUCCGGAGUUACUGGGUGUAAGGGGCGUGUAGGCGGGACUGCAAGUCAGAUGUGAAAACCACGGGCUCAACCGGUGGCCUGCCUUUGAAACUGUAGUUCUUGAGUACUGGAGAGGCAGACGGAAUUCCUGGUGUAGCGGUGAAAUGCGUAGAUAUUAGGAGGAACACCAGUGGCGAAGGCGGUCUGCUGGACAGCAACUGACGCUGAGGCGCGAAAGCGUGGGGAGCAAACAGGAUUAGAUACCCGGGUAGUC
rnacentral:rRNA from 1 species